rnacentral:rRNA from 1 species
GAGCGGUAGCACAGAGAGCUUGCUCUCGGGUGACGAGCGGCGGACGGGUGAGUAAUGUCUGGGAAACUGCCUGAUGGAGGGGGAUAACUACUGGAAACGGUAGCUAAUACCGCAUAAUGUCGCAAGACCAAAGAGGGGGACCUUCGGGCCUCUUGCCAUCAGAUGUGCCCAGAUGGGAUUAGCUAGUAGGUGGGGUAACGGCUCACCUAGGCGACGAUCCCUAGCUGGUCUGAGAGGAUGACCAGCCACACUGGAACUGAGACACGGUCCAGACUCCUACGGGAGGCAGCAGUGGGGAAUAUUGCACAAUGGGCGCAAGCCUGAUGCAGCCAUGCCGCGUGUAUGAAGAAGGCCUUCGGGUUGUAAAGUACUUUCAGCGGGGAGGAAGGUGUUGAGGUUAAUAACCUCAGCAAUUGACGUUACCCGCAGAAGAAGCACCGGCUAACUCCGUGCCAGCAGCCGCGGUAAUACGGAGGGUGCAAGCGUUAAUCGGAAUUACUGGGCGUAAAGCGCACGCAGGCGGUCUGUCAAGUCGGAUGUGAAAUCCCCGGGCUCAACCUGGGAACUGCAUUCGAAACUGGCAGGCUAGAGUCUUGUAGAGGGGGGUAGAAUUCCAGGUGUAGCGGUGAAAUGCGUAGAGAUCUGGAGGAAUACCGGUGGCGAAGGCGGCCCCCUGGACAAAGACUGACGCUCAGGUGCGAAAGCGUGGGGAGCAAACAGGAUUAGAUACCCUGGUAGUCCACGCCGUAAACGAUGUCGACUUGGAGGUUGUGCCCUUGAGGCGUGGCUUCCGGAGCUAACGCGUUAAGUCGACCGCCUGGGGAGUACGGCCGCAAGGUUAAAACUCAAAUGAAUUGACGGGGGCCCGCACAAGCGGUGGAGCAUGUGGUUUAAUUCGAUGCAACGCGAAGAACCUUACCUACUCUUGACAUCCAGAGAACUUUCCAGAGAUGGAUUGGUGCCUUCGGGAACUCUGAGACAGGUGCUGCAUGGCUGUCGUCAGCUCGUGUUGUGAAAUGUUGGGUUAAGUCCCGCAACGAGCGCAACCCUUAUCCUUUGUUGCCAGCGGUCCGGCCGGGAACUCAAAGGAGACUGCCAGUGAUAAACUGGAGGAAGGUGGGGAUGACGUCAAGUCAUCAUGGCCCUUACGAGUAGGGCUACACACGUGCUACAAUGGCGCAUACAAAGAGAAGCGACCUCGCGAGAGCAAGCGGACCUCAUAAAGUGCGUCGUAGUCCGGAUUGGAGUCUGCAACUCGACUCCAUGAAGUCGGAAUCGCUAGUAAUCGUAGAUCAGAAUGCUACGGUGAAUACGUUCCCGGGCCUUGUACACACCGCCCGUCACACCAUGGGAGUGGGUUGCAAAAGAAGUAGGUAGCUUAACCUUCGGGAG